GACGAACCGUGCGAACGUUAUUCGGAAUCAUUGGGCUUAAAGCGCGUGUAGGCGGAUGGGAACGUCGGCUUUGAAAGCCCCCGGCUCAACCGGGGAACUGGCGCCGAAACGACCCGUCUGGAGGGGCAUAGGGGGAGCUGGAACUUCCGGUGGAGCGGUGAAAUGCGUUGAGAUCGGAAGGAACGCCCGUGGCGAAAGCGAGCUCCUGGAUGUCUUCUGACGCUGAGACGCGAAAGCUAGGGUAGCGAAC
rnacentral:rRNA from 1 species